UUAAGUUCAGCGGGUAGUCCUACCUGAUUUGAGGUCAGAUUGUCAAAAAAUUGUCCUUGCGGACUGUUAGAAGCUCGAACACUGCUAUACUUCAACACCACGGCGUAGACAAUUAUCACACCGAAGCGAUCCGUAAGGUUCGCAACUAAUACAUUUCAGAGGAGUCGACUGCUGCCAGCCAACACGGCCUCCAAGUCCAA
rnacentral:misc_RNA from 1 species